UUUUUUUACAUGUACGCUCGGCUGCAAGUAAGAAAGUUGUUGACAACAGUGGUGAGCCAAGGGGACAUUUACCAUGAAACUGGUCCUACCGGUCGCUGUUUUUACUUGCAGUUUUUCAUUUGUCGCUGCGUCAUGCCCAGAAAAUGAAGAGGCGGUGCUCUGCGAUGGAAAUGGCCUGGUCCCGCAAGUAUACUGUGGUGGUGCAGGUCUUGACGACACAUGGCGCUGCGAAUAUAGCGACGAUGCGAUGUGUGCGUGUCAAGCUCCUUACGCACGUGAAACGAACAACGAAUGCGUGCUUGUAGAGAAAUGCAAAUAUGGACCGAACCAGCAUUCACUCCCAUUUUAUUUCAAAGAAGGAGUUACAGAAAGUGAACAAAAAGGCUCGGCUGGCCGAGGAACAGAGGCAACAACAACAACAACAACAACAACAGACAGGAACCUUACAGAUCUUGGUCAGAAAGCUUUGGAGUUUCUUCACAACAACGAUCCCCUUUACCUUCAAAUGAUGAGUGAGCAUGAAUGGAACAACAAUAGCUGCUUAUGCGUAAAGUCUGCAUUUCUAGCCGCACAUAAUAACGGAUGUGAGCGCACUUUGGAGUGCUACACGUACGUGUGGA